rnacentral:rRNA from 1 species
GAUGAACGCUGGCGGCGUGCCUAAUACAUGCAAGUCGAGCGAACGGACGAGAAGCUUGCUUCUCUGAUGUUAGCGGCGGACGGGUGAGAAACACGUGGAUAACCUACCUAUAAGACUGGGAUAACUUCGGGAAACCGGAGCUAAUACCGGAUAAUAUUUUGAACCGCAUGGUUCAAAAGUGAAAGACGGUCUUGCUGUCACUUAUAGAUGGAUCCGCGCUGCAUUAGCUAGUUGGUAAGGUAACGGCUUACCAAGGCAACGAUGCAUAGCCGACCUGAGAGGGUGAUCGGCCACACUGGAACUGAGACACGGUCCAGACUCCUACGGGAGGCAGCAGUAGGGAAUCUUCCGCAAAGGGCGAAAGCCUGACGGAGCAACGCCGCGUGAGUGAUGAAGGUCUUCGGAUCGUAAAACUCUGUUAUUAGGGAAGAACAUAUGUGUAAGUAACUGUGCACAUCUUGACGGUACCUAAUCAGAAAGCCACGGCUAACUACGUG